rnacentral:rRNA from 1 species
AGCGGCGGACGGGUGAGUAACACGUGGGUAACCUGCCCAAGAGACUGGGAUAACACCUGGAAACAGAUGCUAAUACCGGAUAACAACACUAGACGCAUGUCUAGAGUUUGAAAGAUGGUUCUGCUAUCACUCUUGGAUGGACCUGAGGUGCAUUAGCUAGUUGGUAAGGUAACGGCUUACCAAGGCAAUGAUGCGUAGCCGAGUUGAGAGACUGAUCGGCCACGUUGGGACUGAGACACGGCCCAAACUCCUACGGGAGGCAGCAGUAGGGAAUCUUCCACAAUGGACGAAAGUCUGAUGGAGCAACGCCGCGUGAGUGAAGAAGGGUUUCGGUCGUAAAGCUCUGUUGGUAGUGAAGAAAGAUAGAGGUAGUAACUGGCCUUUAUUUGACGGUAAUUACUUAGAAAGUCACGGCUAACUACGUGCCAGCAGCCGCGGUAAUACGUAGGUGGCAAGCGUUGUCCGGAUUUAUUGGGCGUAAAGCGAGUGCAGGCGGUUCAAUAAGUCUGAUGUGAAAGCCUUCGGCUCAACCGGAGAAUUGCAUCAGAAACUGUUGAACUUGAGUGCAGAAGAGGAGAGUGGAACUCCAUGCGUAGCGGUGGAAUGCGUAGAUAUAUGGAAGAACACCAGUGGCGAAGGCGGCUCUCUGGUCUGCGACUGACGCUGAGGCUCGAAAGCAUGGGUAGCGAACAGGAUUAGAUACCCUGGUAGUCCAUGCCGUAAACGAUGAGUGCUAAGUGU